CCUGAGAAACCCGAAAGAUCGAACGGGGAGAUUCAUCGUCAGCGAUUCUGGUACGUGCGCGGUUGCGAUGCCGCCGGAUCUCGGUCCGGUGACACGCGUCCGCGCAUGUUUCAAUUGCCAGUUGUCGCCGGCGUGCACUUCUCCCCUAGUAGGACGUCGCGACCCGUUGGGUGUCGGUCUACGGCCCGUACGGUAGACUGUCGUGCGUCGCGCCACGUGCCGACAUGCGGCAGACCUUCGGUCGCCCGUCCGGCUGCCCGGCGGUACUCGCACGGUAUCGAGCCGCAAAUAUUCGAACUGCGUCCGGCCCGCCGCAAGCGAGGUCAGUGUUUCCCGGAUGUGCGGAACUAGCGCCGUCACCGGGCCUGGCCGGCUGUUGGUCGGCGGUGUCCUGGGACUGGCUCAAUCAAAUUAUGAUACCGGUCGGCGACGCUACUGCUUUGGGUACUUUCAGGACCCGUCUUGAAACACGGA
rnacentral:rRNA from 1 species